CCUACGGGAGGCUGCAGUGAGGAAUAUUGGUCAAUGGGCGGAAGCCUGAACCAGCCAAGUAGCGUGCGGGAUGAAGGCCCUACGGGUCGUAAACCGCUUUUGCACGGGGAUAACACCCUCCACUUGUGGAGGUCUGCAGGUACCGUGCGAAUAAGGGCCGGCUAAUUCCGUGCCAGCAGCCGCGGUAAUACGGAAGGCCCGAGCGUUAUCCGGAUUCAUUGGGCUUAAAGGGAGCGUAGGCGGGCGUUCAAGUCAGCUGUAAAAUCGCGCGGCUCAACCGCGCCCCGCAGUUGAAACUGGACGCAUUGAGUUCACAACAGGCAGGAGGAAUUCGUGGUGUAGCGGUGAAAUGCAGAGAUAUCACGAGGAACCCCGAUUGCGAAGGCAGCCUGCCGGGGUGCGACUGACGCUGAGGCUCGAAGGUGCGGGUAUCAAACAGGAUUAGAUACCCCAGUAGUC
rnacentral:rRNA from 1 species